AGAGUUUGAUCCUGGCUCAGGACGAACGCUGGCGGCGUGCUUAACACAUGCAAGUCGAGCGGGGAACAGGCCUUCGGGUUUGUUUCUAGUGGCGAACGGGUGAGUAACGCGUGAGGAACCUGCCUUUCAGUGGGGGACAACAGUUGGAAACGACUGCUAAUACCGCAUGAUACUAUUGAGGGACAUCCCUUGAUAGUCAAAGCUUUAUGUGCUGAAAGAUGGCCUCGCGUCUGAUUAGCUAGUUGGAGGGGUAACGGCCCACCAAGGCGACGAUCAGUAGCCGGACUGAGAGGUUGACCGGCCACAUUGGGACUGAGAUACGGCCCAGACUCCUACGGGAGGCAGCAGUGGGGAAUAUUGGGCAAUGGGCGCAAGCCUGACCCAGCAACGCCGCGUGAAGGAAGAAGGCUUUCGGGUUGUAAACUUCUUUUAGCAGGGACGAAGAACGUGACGGUACCUGCAGAAAAAGCAACGGCUAACUACGUGCCAGCAGCCGCGGUAAUACGUAGGUUGCAAGCGUUGUCUGGAAUUACUGGGUGUAAAGGGCGUGUAGGCGGAGAUGCAAGUUGGGAGUGAAAUCCAUGGGCUCAACCCAUGAACUGCUUUCAAAACUGCAUCCCUUGAGUAUCGGAGAGGCAAGCGGAAUUCCUAGUGUAGCGGUGAAAUGCGUAGAUAUUAGGAGGAACACCAGUGGCGAAGGCGGCUUGCUGGACGACAACUGACGCUGAGGCGCGAAAGCGUGGGGAGCAAACAGGAUUAGAUACCCCGGUAGUCCACGCUGUAAACGAUGGAUGCUAGCAGUUCCGGGUAUCGACCCCCGAAGUUGCGAAGCUAACGCGUUAAGCAUCCCACCUGUGUAGUACGAUCGCAAGAUUAAAACAUAAAGGAAUUGACGGGGACCCGCACAAGCGGUGGAGCGUGAUCUUUAAUUCGACGAUAAACGAUAAACCUUACCAAGGCUUGACAUCUAGGGAAGGCUCUCGAAAGAGAACUGUGCCUUCGGGAACCCUAAGACAGGUGAUGCAUGGCCGUCGUCAGCUCGUGUCGUGAGAUGUUUGGUUAAGUCCAUCAACGAGCGCAACCCUUGCAACCAGUUGGAUUUUUCUGGUAGGACUGCCCCGGUAACGGGGAGGAAGGAGGGGAUGAUGUCAGGUCAGUAUUUCCCUUACGCCUUGGGCUAGAAUCGCGCUACAAUGGCCGGUACAAUGCGAAGCGAAGCAGUGAUGUGAAGCAAAUCGCACCAAAGCCGGUCCCAGUUCGGAUAGAAGGCUGAAACUCGCCUUCUUGAAGUCGGAAUCGCUAGUAAUCGCAGAUCAGCAUGUUGCGGUGAAUACGUUCCCGGGUCUUGCACUCACCGCCCGUCAA
rnacentral:rRNA from 1 species